rnacentral:rRNA from 1 species
CCUACGGGUUGCAGCAGUGGGGAAUCUUGGACAAUGGGCGAAAGCCCGAUCCAGCAAUAUCGCGUGAGUGAAGAAGGGCAAUGCCGCUUGUAAAGCUCUUUCGUCGAGUGCGCGAUCAUGACAGGACUCGAGGAAGAAGCCCCGGCUAACUUCGUGCCAGCAGCCGCGGUAAUACGAAGGGGGCUAGCGUUGCUCGGAAUGACUGGGCGUAAAGGGCGCGUAGGCGGUUUAUGCAGUCAGAUGUGAAAUCCCCGGGCUUAACCUGGGAACUGCAUUUGAGACGCAUAGACUAGAGGUCGAGAGAGGGUUGUGGAAUUCCCAGUGUAGAGGUGAAAUUCGUAGAUAUUGGGAAGAACACCGGUGGCGAAGGCGGCCCCCUGGACGAAGACUGACGCUCAGGUGCGAAAGCGUGGGGAGCAAACAGGAUUAGAUACCCCAGUAGUC